rnacentral:rRNA from 1 species
UACGUAGGGGGCAAGCGUUGUCCGGAUUUACUGGGCGUAAAGAGCGUGUAGGCGGCCACGCAGGUCCGUUGUGAAAACUGGAGGCUCAACCUUCAGACGUCGACGGAAACCGUGUGGCUAGAGUCCGGAAGAGGAGAGUGGAAUUCCUGGUGUAGCGGUGAAAUGCGCAGAUAUCAGGAAGAACACCAAUGGCGAAGGCAGCUCUCUGGGACGGUACUGACGCUGAGACGCGAAAGCGUGGGGAGCGAACAGG